rnacentral:rRNA from 1 species
UACAGAGGUCCCGAGCGUUGUUCGGAUUCAUUGGGCGUAAAGGGUGCGUAGGCGGCGGGGCAAGUCUGAUGUGAAAUCCCGGGGCUCAACCCCGGAACUGCAUUGGAUACUGCCUUGCUCGAGUACUGGAGAGGGAACUGGAAUUUACGGUGUAGCAGUGAAAUGCGUAGAGAUCGUAAGGAAGACCAGUGGCGAAGGCGAGUCCCUGGACAACUCCUGACACUGAGGCACGAAAGCUAGGGGAGCAAACAGG